GAGAACUUUGAUGGUAUAACAUAGGUAGCCACAGGAGUAUCAUAAUGGUAUGGUCCUUUAGCUGUGGAUGUCCAAAAGUUACAAAUGAUCAAUAGGAAAAUGGAGAUUCUAUCUGUAAGUAAACAAAAAGGGAAUCAUGAAAGCCUAUACAUUUUUGUUCCUUGUUUUGACAUAUGCAUGAUUUACGAGGGACAUUUUCAUUCUUUGGUACUAGUAAUCCAUCUGUAUUUUUUUUUCUAGAUUUUAGUCACAAAACGUUACUCAUGAAUUAAAGAGGAUAAAUACAUGAAAUGUGGAUCAUUUACAGUGAGACCCAGAGAAUGGAAGGACCAGGUAGUUCACAUGGAGGAGACUGCUGCAGAGAUUCAAGAAUUCCCCCACCUUGUUUGAUGAAGCUCUACAUCAUGAUCUUGCCUCUUUCUGGGCCAACAAUCCCCCAGGUACUCUUUUGCAAUAUGUAGAUGACCUUCUGGUGGCUGCAGAAACACACAAGGAGUGUGAACUUGGGACUCAGAGAAUCCUGGCUGAGUUAGGUGAGUUGGGGUACUGGGCUUCGGCUAAAAAGGCACAGUUAUGCCAGACUGAGGUGACUUACCUGGGAUACACCCUGAAGAAUGGACAACCAUGGCUCACCCGGAGCUAGGAAGAGGACAGUGACACAGAUACUUACCCCAACCACAACUCACCAGCCAUUCUCAACCCCACCACCUUACUGCCUGAAGCUAACGAAACCAUGGUACACCAAUGUGAAGAGAUACUGGCAGAAGAAACUGGGACUCGGCCAGACUUAACUGACUGACCAUGGCCUGGGGCAGUGACCUGGUUCACCUAUGGAUGCAGCUUCAUGGUAGAAGCCUGGCAGAAGACCCUCAAAACCGUAAGGAAAGAAAACUGGGAGCAGUUGAAAGAGGCCUAUGUCACUGGCGACUUGCAGGUGCCACAUCAGUUUGAAGUGGGAGACACUGUCCUGGUGAGAAGGCAUCGAGCAGGGAACCUUGAGCAAUGGUGGAAGGGACCCUACCUGGUGCUAUUGACUACACCCACUGCCAUUAAGGUAGAAGGAAUCCCCACUUGGGUCCAUGCUUAACAGGUUAAGAAGGCUCCCCCCUGAGACUAGUCGAGAUGAGUGGACCCUGGAAAAGACUAAUAAUCCUCUUAAGUUGCACCUAUGUCGCAGCUCAGAACCGAGACCUCAAUCAUCAUAUACCAACUCAGAAAACUUGGGAAGUGAUUAGUGAAGAGGGGAACAUUGUUUGGUCAGUCACCUCAGUAUAUGCGACCCCCCCCAACCCUGUGGACUUGGUGGCCUUACCUCGUGCCUGAUAUUUGUAAGCUGUCAGCGGGAUCACUUACCUGGGACCUCCCUGACCAUAACGAUCUCUAUAACCCCCCACCUAAGAAACUGUGUUUCCCGAAUAGGAUAGCGAGCACAUUUGGGUGCUCGGGGCAGUUCUAUCAGGCCAUCCACUGGUCCGCAGAGUUUUAUAUUUGUUCUGGCCAAGGCCAGAGCUGAAAGCUUUGGCAUAAAUGUGGGGUAUCAGAUUUUUAUUGUGCUGCAUGGGGUUGUCAAAAAACAGGAGUGCCUUACUGGAAUCCUACCUCUACCUGGGACCUACUUAUGGUGAAAAGGGGCAGCAGCUUUGACAAGCCAAACCAAGGUGAGAGAGAUGGGUCUAAAUACCCUGAGAACAGGUGUGCCCACAGCAACAUCCCCAAUGGACCCUCUAAAGGUAAACAUUGCAACCACAUACUUAUAAAAUUCACUGUCAAAGGGAAACAAGAUCGUUAGAGCUGGCUUAGGGGAAAUAUUUGGGAUCUGCGAUUGGAUGCCGCAGGGAAAGACCCUGCGUUGAUUUUCAAAAUCAAAUUAACUGUGGAGAGUCCAUCCCCAGUGCCCAUAGGACCUAACAAGGUCCUUCCAGAACAGGGCCUCCCUGCCAAACCCAAACCCCCGGCUCUGAUAAUUGAGGACCCCUUUCAACAAGGUCGCCACCACCCCAGAUUCUCUGACCACAUUCCCCCCAGAUCCCUCGAUGAGACAGAGACUGUUCAAUCUGAUUAGAGGAGCCUUUUAUACCCUUAACAGCUCGGAUCCUGACACCACUACUAACUGCUGGUUAUGCCUAUCAUCAGGCCCUCCCUACUACGAAUGGGUUGCUUUUAAUGGAGAUUUUAAUAAAACCAGAAGUCAUGCCUCCUGCUCAUGGGGGACAGGAAAGAAAUUAACACUGACUGAAGUUUCAGGGAGGAGCUGUGGUCUCUGUAUAGGGACACAUCCUCCUUCCCACCAGCACCUAUGUAUCCAGGACAAAUACCAACAAUCACCUUGUGCCAUAUCCAUUCAGUUGGUGGGCCUGUAACACAAGGCUCAUCCAAUGUGUAUCAACUAGUGUCUUUGACCCCUCUCGUGAUUUCUGUGUCAUGGUUCAACUUCUACCUCGCAUGUAUUAUUAUCCUGCCCUGCCUGGAAGAUGAACAUAUCAGUAAGAUGUUGAAAAGAGAUCUAGUCUCCAUUACCCUAGCUAUGUUAAUGGGUACGGUUUUACAGCAGGAGUAGGAAUGGGCAUAGCAGCCUUGAUUGAGGGUAGACAAGGAAUUCAGUCCUUAAGAGAAGCUAUAAAUGAAGAUUUAAGCAAGCUAGAAAAAUCUGUUGAUGCAUUAGGGAAAUCCUUGACUUCCCUCUCAGAAGUAGUAUUACAAAACAGAAGAGGUUUAGAUUUAUUGUUUUUAAGGGAAGGUGGACUAUAUGCAGCCUUAAAAGAAGAAUGCUGCAUUUACGUGGACCAUGCGGGAGUAGUCAGAGAUUCUAUGCAGAAAUUAAGGGACAGACUGGAAAGGAGAAAGCGAAAUUAAGAAGCUGAACAGGGAUGGUUCGAGUCGUGGUACUAUAAAUCUCCGUGGAUGACCACUUUACUUACCACUUUAGCCAGACCAAUUCUUACUAUAUGUUUGGUUUUGAUCUUUGGCCCCUGCUUAAUAAAUAAGGGAAUUGCUUUUGUUAAGAGUAGAGUGAAUGCAUUGCAGAUUAUGGUGCUCCAACAUCAAUAUCAACCCAUAGUAAAGAUAGAAGAGGAAUAUGAUUCCUACCCCCCACAUGAGGAUAUAGACCUUUAAAAUUCUAAGAUUAGAAUUAUUUAGUAGAAGAAGAGCAGAAAGAAAGAAAGAAAACUAAAUUCAAGGCUUCGAGGCCCUAAUCAGAAGGUUUACAGACUUAAAGCCAUACAGAUAAGAGAAUCGGGCCCACAAAAAGGCUGUAAAGUCAUCCCAGGAACUAACUAGCCUUUGAAAUAUGAAAGGCACACAAGGACAAUCUCCGGACAAGCUCAGAUGAGUAAUGGGCCACCUGCUAAUAUGGUUUGAGCUUAGCCAGAUUCCCUGCCCACCAAGAUAAACACCCUCCCUUUAGAGUUACUGUCACAUACUGCUUGCUGAUGUUUAUACCGGCCACUUAUGUGUUACUGCGCCAAUUUCCCCUAUCCCCCCACUCCUUUCCUAUAUAACCCCCUAACUUUUGAGCCUUAGGGUCGACUCCCCUGCCUCCUGUGUGAGAUACGUGUCAGCCCGGAGCUCUGUUCAUUAAACUGCCUCGUGUGUUUGCAUCAA